AAUGCAAGUCGAGCGGACCGACGGGAGCUUGCUCCCUUAGGUCAGCGGCGGACGGGUGAGUAACACGUGGGUAACCUGCCUGUAAGACUGGGAUAACUCCGGGAAACCGGGGCUAAUACCGGAUGCUUGAUUGAACCGCAUGGUUCAAUCAUAAAAGGUGGCUUUUAGCUACCACUUGCAGAUGGACCCGCGGCGCAUUAGCUAGUUGGUGAGGUAACGGCUCACCAAGGCGACGAUGCGUAGCCGACCUGAGAGGGUGAUCGGCCACACUGGGACUGAGACACGGCCCAGACUCCUACGGGAGGCAGCAGUAGGGAAUCUUCCGCAAUGGACGAAAGUCUGACGGAGCAACGCCGCGUGAGUGAUGAAGGUUUUCGGAUCGUAAAACUCUGUUGUUAGGGAAGAACAAGUACCGUUCGAAUAGGGCGGCACCUUGACGGUACCUAACCAGAAAGCCACGGCUAACUACGUGCCAGCAGCCGCGGUAAUACGUAGGUGGCAAGCGUUGUCCGGAAUUAUUGGGCGUAAAGCGCGCGCAGGCGGUUUCUUAAGUCUGAUGUGAAAGCCCCCGGCUCAACCGGGGAGGGUCAUUGGAAACUGGGGAACUUGAGUGCAGAAGAGGAGAGUGGAAUUCCACGUGUAGCGGUGAAAUGCGUAGAGAUGUGGAGGAACACCAGUGGCGAAGGCGACUCUCUGGUCUGUAACUGACGCUGAGGCGCGAAAGCGUGGGGAGCGAACAGGAUUAGAUACCCUGGUAGUCCACGCCGUAAACGAUGAGUGCUAAGUGUUAGAGGGUUUCCGCCCUUUAGUGCUGCAGCAAACGCAUUAAGCACUCCGCCUGGGGAGUACGGUCGCAAGACUGAAACUCAAAGGAAUUGACGGGGGCCCGCACAAGCGGUGGAGCAUGUGGUUUAAUUCGAAGCAACGCGAAGAACCUUACCAGGUCUUGACAUCCUCUGACAACCCUAGAGAUAGGGCUUCCCCUUCGGGGGCAGAGUGACAGGGGUGCAUGGUUGUCGUCAGCUCGUGUCGUGAGAUGUUGGUUAAGUCCCGCAACGAGCGCAACCCUUGAUCUUAGUUGCCAGCAUUCAGUUGGGCACUCUAAGGUGACUGCCGGUGACAAACCGGAAGAAGGGGGAUGACGUCAAAUCAUCAUGCCCCUUAUGACCUGG
rnacentral:rRNA from 1 species